UACGUAGGGUGCAAGCGUUAAUCGGAAUUACUGGGCGUAAAGCGUGCGCAGGCGGUUUUGUAAGCCGGAUGUGAAAUCCCCGGGCUUAACCUGGGAAUGGCAUUCGGGACUGCAAGGCUGGAGUGCGGCAGAGGAGACUGGAAUUCCUGGUGCAGCAGUGAAAUGCGUAGAUAUCAGGAGGAACACCGAUGGCGAAGGCAGGUCUCUGGGCUGACACUGACGCUCAUGCAUGAAAGCGUGGGGAGCAAACAGG
rnacentral:rRNA from 1 species